GUGAGUCAUCGAAUCUUUGAACGCACAUUGCGCCUCUCUUUAUGGGGAGGCAUGCCUGUCUGAGCGUCAUUUAAACCGAUGGGCCCGUCUGGGUCCGUGUUGGGCCUCGUCCCCCUCGGACGUCGCCUCGAAUAGAUCGGUCGAGCGAGCGGACGUGAUCCAUUAGGACUGACCGUUCCAGACCCUAAAUCUCAGAUUUGACCUCAGAUCAGGUAGGGACACCGCCUGAACUUAAGCAUAUCAAUAAGCGGAGGA
rnacentral:misc_RNA from 1 species